CUCGCAUUUAAAAGAAGUAAAUAUCUCCCACCCCCAUGACAAGCGAAUGGUUGUGCCCAGGAAGCUCGAGCUCGUGUUUAGGGAAGUGAAUCUGUGCUUUGAGUGUCUUCUCGCAUCUUCAAGGAAACUUUGAUUUCUUGUCGUAAACCUUCUACCUCGUGUACAUUUAACUUUUUAACCGAUGCAGUCACUUUAAAAGCUAAUACAGCCUUGACAGUUUUUUGAAUGAAUGAUCCAGAGAGACUGUUAACCUCGAUAAAAGCAGCUCUCGGUUAUUCUUCCUCACAGACCUCAGUUGAUAUGUGGGAAUGGCAGAUUUUGAGUCUGGUGGGCUUCAUCCUUUUAGGUCUUUUUCUCUUUGCUGUAGGCUAUAUCUUGUACUCCGGACUGACAAGUGAAAUCAUUAUCAAGACUGGUUUACCCCCGGUCAGGAGCAUCACUGUAGCCUAUAAAUACAGGACAGGAGCUUAUAAAGACUGCGGCUCAGUCUUCAAAGAGAGCAGCAGCAUUGGACCCAAGCUGUCAUGCAUUGGGAUCUUCUAUGACGACCCAAAGAAGGUUCCAGCUCAAAAGUGCCGCUAUGCUGUAGGCAGUAUUUUGAGUGAAGGUGAGGACCGACUCAAUGAAGAACAGCAGAAGCUUUAUGAGAAUCACGGCUUCCGGGUUUUCUCAUUUCCAGAGGUCACACAUGUCGUCACGACCUCCUUCCCUCACCGAACCCCUCUCUCUAUUUUCCUGGGAGUGCAGAGGGUUUAUCCACAGCUCAACUACUACAUCAAGGAAAGGAAAUUGUGUGCACAUCCAUUUCUGGAGAUCUAUCGAGGGGGAACGAUCCACUAUAUGAGUCCACUGGCCCGGCAGGGGGAUUUCUAUGUUCCUGAAGUUAGAGAAGCCCAAAGAUGGUUACCGGGAAAAUCGCCUGAAGAGGACGAGAGGACGGACAUCACAGGUGCUGAUUCCAACAGCGAGCGCAGUUCUUCUGUGAGCCAGCAGGACGCUUCACCUGCCCCGUCCAGCACGCGGACACACUCGCACCCGGACAGACAGCAAUACUGGGACUUCGAUCGUGUGGAGAGAAGCGACACCUCCAGCGUCUCUUCCUUCGAGGAGCUGGAGCUGGAUUCGGACAGGUGCGAACACACUCUUCCAGCCCUCGCAACAGGCGGAAAACACAACCUGCAGGACCAGGACAGAGAGAUCAUGGUGGAGGAAGAGUAAGAUGGAGAGCAGUGAAUUGUGGGAAAUGUGAGGGAUGUGUUUUGACUUUGAUAGUUCACUCAAAAAUCAAAGUUCUGUCAUUAGUUUUGUUCUUCCAAAAGGCUCAUUUAUACUUUGUUCGACCGUAUUCAAAUUUUACUUACAUUUUAUGAAGUAACAAUAGUAGUUACAAUUAUUACAAUGCUUUCAAUUAAGGUUUAGAUUUCACCUUUUCUUUUUUAAAUUUUAUUUUGUUUGUUUUUUGGAUUAUUUUACUAUAUAAUAAUUAACUACAAAAUUUCAGUAAUUAUUUUCUCCAGAAAUCACCAAAAAAAAAAUUUAUCAAAAUGGUUUGGUGUUUUCCAUGAAAUAUUUAAAUUUUAUUUAGACAUGAUAUGUCCUGUUACUUUUUAUUUGUUGUCAUUUUAAUUUUGCUGUAAUUUCUUUAGCAUAAUUUGACUAUAACAAUUAAUUAUAUAAUUAUUAUCAUUAUUUUCCCUUCUAGAAUCCACAAUACAAGUCGUUCAUAUGGAUUCCAAGAAAUUUAAUUUUUUUUAUUUGAAUGCAGUCAUAAUAUUUUUGCAGUAAUCUUUUUCUUCUAAUUUUAGUUUUUUUUUUUUUGUUUUUUUUUUUGCAUAAUUUGACUACAUAAUAAUUAAUUAUAUAAUUAUUAUCUGUAUUUUUUCUCUCCAAAAACAAAAAUGUAAAAAUGAUCCAUAUAGUUUGGUGUAGAAAGAAAUAUUAUUUUUAAUUUUAUUUGGAUGCAGUCAUAAUAUUUUU
rnacentral:lncRNA from 1 species